GCCGUUCUCAGUUCGGAUCGGAGUCUGCAACCCGACUCCGUGAAGCUGGAUUCGCUAGUAAUGGCAGGUCAGCAUACUGCCGUGAAUACGUUCCCGGGCCUUGUACACACCGCCCGUCACACCAUGAGAGUUGGGAAUACCCGAAGCCUGUGAGCUAACUUUUAGAGGCAGCAGUCGAAGGUAGAAUCAAUGAUUGGGGUGAAGUCGUAACAAGGUACC
rnacentral:rRNA from 1 species